rnacentral:lncRNA from 1 species
CUUACAUGGUAAUAUUGCUCUUAUGUUAUGGGUGCACAAAGGGGCCUUUACCAUCUUAACCAACAAUGAUUUAACUAUUUCAUUCACAAAAUUGCUAAAUAUUAGUAAUAUUAUGGGUGUGCACGUGACCCCAUAAUGUGUAACCUGGCUACGCCCUGGCUGUAACCGAUUUCCUCCUUCGACAUCUUGUGAUCGCAUCAUGUUCCUUGGUUCUGGUGUCGUCCCUCAACCACGUAAACCGCCCACAACCAAGGUUCUACACGCUCGUCCACUAAUUGAUCACAUACCAAGGCUUCCACUCUUUCGAACCAUAAUUUUCCUUCUGAAUUAACAGUUUAAGUCAACAAUUGAUUACUCAUACAUAAUGCAUGUGUUAACCUUUUAGUUUUCUUUAGUAACCCGAAGAAUUUAUCGUUUUUUAGUAGCGUUCGAUGAUAUAUGGGUAAUUCACAUUUUAGUUGAAACUCUAUUUACUUUAUUUAACUGUAUAUUUGCUUAAAA